rnacentral:lncRNA from 1 species
GAGGCGAUUGGGGGCAACCAGUGAGGAGCAAAGUCAUAGAUGAGCCAGUUGACAUCGGAGUUCUGUAGAAACUCAGUGAGAGGGAGUUGGAGCUGGUCGUAGGCUCGUUUCAGAUUCGGGAAUAGGUGGAAUGGCAACUCGGAGGUGGACUCGGCGGAGUCGGGCAAGCCAUGGACGGCAGGCAGAGGCAGUGGCAGUCGUACCAUGGUUACAAGUGAGGAUAAAUUUGGAAUUUGAGAGAGGCGACGAAGGUUUUUAGGGGUGGAGAGGAAGGAAAUGCGGUGACCCCUUUGAACUAAGUGGCUGGAGAGAUGAAGAAAAGGUAAGAAGUGGCCAAAGGCCAGCCAUGGGAACACAGCUAUGUGAAGCUUCUGAUGCUCUUUCUUCAUCUCAUCCAUGGCAAUGGAGUUGUGAGUUGUGAGAGAAAUGAUCAAGAUUCAAAACUUUGGGUAGAGCAGUGAUGUGAAGUUGCAGAAAGAGUUGUCGACUUGUGCUCAUCAUCAAAGGAGCAGCGCACCAUGGAUGGAUGUCCCGCUGUACUUUUAUUGGACCCUUAUCGUUAAAUCCUAUCACUCAUCCCCGCAAUGGUAAGCCAAGGGGAAAAAGUGUGUUUUGGUGAGAGGGUUUUGAAAAAAGAAAGAAAAAGGAAGAUAAAAUCCUUUAAAAAAUAAUUAAAAUUUUCAUUUCAUCAUCUCUCCUGUUAAACAAAUAUUCGAUUUUUAUAUUAAAAUAUAAAAAAUUUGAUUUAAUUAAAAUUUUAUUUUCAAAUUAUUUAAUCUUUACAUCAGAUAAUUAAAAUAAGUUAAAUGACUUUUAAAUAACAUAUGAAAAUAAUUUAUUAAUUAAAUUUUUUUUUUCUUCCAAUUUUUUCUUCUUAGAGACACAACUUUUCCCAUGAGAAAAGGUAGGAUCUUAAUUAUUGAGCGUGGCGGUGAGAUUUUGAAAUGAAAAUUGAUGGUCCUUGGAAACUAUUACCCGACUUGAAAUAGUUUUCUAUAUGCUAAAAUGAUUAAAUGAAAUAAUUUUUUUUGAGAUUUUAAAAAAAAAUAUAUAUUGUUUUUGGGAAUAAAAUUGAGAUAUCUUCAAUUAUAUUUUAAAAGUGUUUCAAAAAAUAAUUUACAAGAAUUAAUUUUUUUUUACAUUAUACAUUAUGUGCACAAAAUUCAUGAAAAAUAAUUAAAUUUUUUUUUUUCAAUGUUUUCAGAAUUGGAUUAAUCAUUAAAUUGAAAAGUUAUGGAUUUAUGGUUCAAUAGUUUGAUUGAUAGUUAAAUCGCGAUUGAACUGGUGAUGUAAUAAAUAUAUAAUUUAUAUAUUAUAUAAAAUUAAAAUUAUUUAUAAAAUUUAAUAUUAAAAAAUAAUAAUAAUUCAUUUUUAUAUAAUUCAUUUUAUCAAAUUAAAUUGGUAAUAAUAAAUAUAAAUAUAUUAAUAUUUUAAAUUUUAUUAAUUAAAAUAAUACACAUAUAAUAUUUUAAAGAAAAAUUAUAUGUUUAAAAUUGUAUAUUUUUUAUUUUAUAAUAUUUAAAAACAUUAUAUUAUUCUCAUAAAUAUUAUUAUAUAAUAAGUAUAAUUAUUUAAGGGUUUUAAAUAAUAAAAAUUUGAAAGAAGCAUUACUUUCCAAAUCCCAAUAGUCUAACAAUGCUUUUGAUAAGUUGGAGGUCCGAGGGUGAGUCCUCAGACAAACAGAAAAAAAAAAAAAAAGCUCAUGGAUCAUAAGCAAUAGGGCCUAUGAGGCUUGGCUUGGAUGGAAUAAUUAGAUAAUUCAAAAAUUAAGUUUAUUCUAUUAAUGUUUCCAUAAAUUACAAUAUUAUUAGAGAAAUUUUCAUGUGUGACAAAAUAAUAUUGUUAGAAUCACUUUAAAAAAUUCAAAACUAUAUUAUGAAAAAAAAAAAAAAAAAACAAUUAUGCCACUGUAAACCUCAUUUUUUUGUGUAGUUUUUUUAUUAUUUUUGUAGCACUUUGCUGUCAGCGUGUUUUAGAGUGGGGGACGACUGUGAGUUACAUGCAUGGGACAUGUGCCAAGACACCACCACCUUGCCAUGGUGGUAGUUGAGAUGGGGACUCCUUUUGAACAGAUGACAGAGGAGUGGGUGGUGAGCAGUAAAAUUGGUGAAGACUGGAGGUGAAAGAAAAACAGAGCAUGGGUGGGCUGUUUUGAGGGGGUACCAGCUAUGAAGAAGGGAGGGAGAAAAACGAGCAGCGGAGGGGGAUUUUUCUGGGAGAAAAAUCUGGAGAGUGGGUGCUGGGUUUUUGUGGCAGCUGAGGGAUUUUAGAAAGAAAAAGAAGAAGAGAGGUGAGCUGAAAUUUGGGGGGGCGGUGGGGGAACGCGUCUGAAAAUAGAGCAAGAGGAGAGGUGGAGUGAAAACGGGGAGAACGGUUUUUUUGAAAGAAAACAGAGCAAGAGGAAGGUUGUCCACGGGUGAGCGGUUUUUGAGGGAGGCGCCUGAAAACAGAGCAAGGGGAGAGCUGGAAGGAGAAACGGAGGACGUUUUUUUUAAGGAAAAAACAGGCAGCAACUGGAGAGAGAGAUCUAGGAGAAAAACGGAGCACUUGAAGCCAAGUGUGCUUGGCUCAAGAGGAGACACCCAUGUUCAUUGUGAACCGUGUAUUUUCUUAUUUUUGGAUGCCAUUUUACCUGAUGUCUCUGUUAACUUUUGGGUCGUUCUUGCUGGUCCUUCCAUGUUCGUUUCCUUGGCUUACCUUGAAAACUGGUGAGGUUUUUUUUAUCAUGUUCAUUGCGGGGCAUUCUGAAGAUCAACGCAUUUGCUCUACUGGGUGUCAUAUCUGCAUUGUAUUUGUUUUUGGCUUUUGCCUAUUCUGUUCUUCUUUGCAACAUACAUAUAUAUAUAUAUAUAAAAUGAAAGAUAUGGUAGUGUGCUCGAUGGGAGUGAACAGAGUAGGGCAGUCCCACAUAGAUUUUGUUGGGGAACGGAUUUAAAAGUAUGGAAAUCACACCCCUUUUUUUUAGGUUUCUAGGAUUUUUGAGUUUCGGGCUAGGUGGGUUUCUUCUUUUGGUUGGUUUUGCCACUCCAAAUGGCUCUCGUUCCACACUUUUUGAUUCACGUUCAGCAUUUCUCUACUUAGGCCUAUGUUUGGUGGCUGGGAAUUUAUAAGAAACUGAUUUUAGGAUCUGGGUAUUUGGUUAUAUGAGAUGAUCUUAAGAACUGUUUGAGGUUUCUACAAACUGCCUUGCAUUUUCAUAUUAUAAACCCAACACCUCUGGUUUGUUGGAAAUGAGUUUGAAAAAAUAAUAAUUGAGCAACUUGGGGCUUAAUUAAAAGUGUGACCCACAUUCCGAAAAUGUCGGGACCAUGCACCAACGCGUUCUCCUCCGUAAGAGUAUAACGUGGUAUAUUUAUUUGUUCAAAUCCAUUAAGUAUUGAAUGAGAAAAUUGACUCCAAAGUCACCCACUUGAAAUUAUAUAUUUAAGGAAACUUGGUAUAAACUUACCAUAAACACUUUAUCCCACGUAGGAAGGAAGUGUGAGGGGAAUGUGAAGAGUUUAUAUAUUGAAUUUUUGCACUAUAGGAACGGCCCAAGGGGCACCCUAAGUUUGUAAAGGGGAGGACCUACAUGGGUGUAGGCUUGUGUGGGUUUAACCCACACGGGCGCAGCCGCCCGGGCCCAUGGGUCUUGGGCUUGGGCUUGCUAUAUAUAUAUAUAAUUUUUGGGCAAAAAUCAUUUAAGUUUCUGGGUCGGGGUUAUCCGUUGGCUUUUCAUAAUUAAGAUUCAUUGUUAGAGUGUGCCUAUUCCGAACAGGUUCAUGACUAUUCCAAACAGGUACGUGUCUAUUCCGAAUAGGUUUAUACCUAUUCUAAACAGACACUAGGAAGUCUAUAAAUAGACUUUCUACCUCGGCAUUAAUAAAAUAAAAAAAAAAUUCAAUCAAUUCCUGCAUAUUUCUCUCUCUCCUCUUUGCAUCCUUUGUCAGUUCGAGUACAAAAUACAAGUUGUGUUCGUGGUGUUCUACAGAUUGAAGUGCUGCUUUUGUAGAACUGAAAAUCCGUUCUAUCUUGGGAGACAUUUAUUCACUACUUGAGCACCAGAGAGGGAAUAAAAUUGUCUUAAAGAAACAGUGUUGUCAUUGGGCUCGAAUUCAUAGAAUUAAAGUAAGUUCUGUAAUUUCAUUUAUUUUAUUUACAUACUUAUUUAAUGUUUACUUAAAGUAUAAACUGUAAAAAGAUUUUAUUGUUAACAUGGUUUGCUUUUUGCAUCUACUCCCCUUCAUUUUUAUGUAAUUCACCAUUCUCUUCCUCUACAAAGAAUCAAACAUGGCAUUCACAAUUUGAAAAGCUUGACCCAUCAAAAACAAUACAUCGAGGCCCUCAAACGCACCACACAAGAGCCACGUGUCAUCCUUUUUCUUUUUUCUUUUUCCUUCUUUUGAUAUUAAAAUUUUAUUUAUUUUUUAUUUUUUAUUUCUCCAUUCUCCAAUAAUUCAUCAAAAUUCCAAUUUUUAAAUUUAAUUUUCAAGAUUUUAAUUUUAAUUUAAUUUUCAAAACUCCAAUUUUUAAGUUUAAUUUUCAAAACUUCAAUUUUUAAAUCUAAUUUUCAAAAAUCUAAUUUUCCAAACUUUAAUUUUCAAAUUUAAAUUUUAAAAUUUCAAAUUUUAAAUAAUUUUCCAAAACUUCAAUUUUCAAAAUUCUCAAAUUCAUUUAUUUAAUAAUAAUAAUAAUAAUUAUUAUUAUUAUAUUUAUUUAUUUAUUUUUUAAAUUCCACUAUCAAAUAAUUCUUCAAAAUUCCAUUUUCUUAAAUUUAGUUUUCAAACUUCCAUUUUAAAAAUUUUUUGAAAUUUCGAUUAUUAAAUUUAAUUUUUUAAACUUCCAUUUUUAAUUAAUUAUUCAAAUUUUAAUUUUCACAUUUAUUUAUUUAAUUAUUGCUAUUAUUAUUAUUUUAUUUUAUUUUUUUAUUUUUAAAUUACAUUCUCAAAUAAUUCUUCAAAUUUUCAUUUUUUUUAAAUUUAAUCUUCAAGAUUUCCAUUUUCAAAUAAUUCUUUUUUAAAAUUUCAAAUAAUUUCAGAACUUUAAUUUUCUUUCAAAUAAUCUUAAUUUCACUCCAAUUUUCAAAUAUUUUUUUAAUUAACCACUUUUUAUCCUUACUAAAAAUUCUAUUUUUAAAUAAACUUGCUAUAUUUCCUUUCAGGGAAGCACCAUAAAUUUUCUUCGAUUUUAAAAUAAUUUUCCGUUUUUCUUGAUUUCUAACAAGCAUGAAGACAAUUUUCAUAAUUCCAAAAUAAUGGAAUUUGUGGGAUUAAUUUAUACAAAAUCAAUUGGGCUUUGGUGGGGCCCAACAUUCAUAACAUUUGUUUUUAAAAUAAUUUAAGUGAAUUGUAUAGUUAAUAUUGUUUGAUUUUGAUUGGUUUUAUGUGAAAUAUUUUACACUUAUCAUUGUACACCAACCUUGUUUCAUGAUAACACUUUAUUAUAUGUUGUCAAGCUACGAUCUUAUUCCUACUUUGCUUAUUCCUAUGCAUGAUUCGUUUUAUUAUUUGAUCUAUGAUCAUUUUGAUAUUUGUUGAUUUCUUUAUCAAUUAUCACACUUACUUCACCUUAUUUAGUAGAAACCAAUUUUUAAGAGCUUAGAGGAUCCUACGAUUUUUAUCGUACAUUUCCAAUAAGUAAUCUGAUCUUACCUUCAAAUUCUGAUAUUAUCUUCAAUUAGACAAUUUUUCUUAAAACUUCACUAAGAAACACAAUAUCAAAUUUGCUUAUUAUACGUUCUCCUUAUAUACCUCAAAAACCUAAGGGUUCCUUUGUUAGGUUUGUCCAUGAAAGGUGAGUCAAAGCCUAAGAUCAAGUCGAAAGGCAUAGUUGAUGGGUAAUAAGUGAAUAUUCUUGUAUUAUCCCUUGUUAGUCUCGAAAAAUCGAAAAGCAACCCCAUUUUUCACCUUAAAUUAAUCAAAAUAAGUAAAAUUUCUUGCUUUUUGUAAAUGAGUAGAUUUAAUAACUAGGGGUCUAUGGCUAACUGAUAUAAAAUAAUUUAAAUAAAAAAUAUACAAAAUCUAAUCAUUAAUAACCCUGAAUUAAAAUUAAGAAAAUUAUCUUCAAAAGAAUAUGUGCUAAUAGCAUAUUAUAAAAUAAUGAGUAAACUAAAAAUAAAAGAAAGUAAAAAAAAAAGAAGAUGGAGAGAAUUUGAGACGAUGUUUUUUUAGAGAAGGAUGUUAAUACGUGGAUGGAACAAUGCUUUUAUAAGCUUACGUAAAGAAAAAGUAGAUAUCUCCAUUAACUUACUGUUAAUAGAUCAAGUAGAUUUAGUUACUACUGAGUCAUUUUCAAGCACCCGAGUGAACUCAUCUAAAUAUUUGGUUUGCAACUUCACAUUUCCAAAGAUUUCCCUCAUUGCCCAUGCAUUUCUCCUAAGUUGCUCUCCUUCUUCUUCCACCAUAACUCGUUUUAUUGACUUACUCACUGAGUCGCCUGUAAAUGAUCCAUCUCGCUUGUCCCUCGGUACUUCCAACCCGACUCGCUUGCCUUCAAGGAGUCUUGCCACCAACCCCAGAUCUGAAGAAGGCCCGGGGAAAAGAAUCAGCACCCGACCCAACCCGAGAGCCUCGAUCACGGAGCUCCAUCCACAGUGGGUCAAGAAUCCACGAACUGAUGGGUGAGCCAAGAUUUGCUUUUGUGGAGCCCAAUUGGCCCAAACUAAACCACGACCUGAAACCCGACCCUCAAACCCGGUUAUAAUCGGAUCAUCUUUGGUUUUAACCACCCAAAUGAAGGGUAAGCCGGAUUUCUCUAUUCCAGAUGCCAACUCGUUCAUUUCGUCCUGACUCAGAGUCAACUCACUACCGAGUGCAACGUAAAGGACGGAGUUUUCGGUUUUCUCGUCAAGCCAUUGUCUUAACGAGCCCCAGCUCUCGUCUCCCUCGCUGUCGUUCACCUCCGUCGGAAGCAACCCUAUCGGAACGACAGGCUUUUGGUAGAGAUUUUCGAGGAGACUCAGUGAAUCACCCUCUAACUCGGCGCAGCUCCUGGUAGCUACAAAUCGGCAGCCUUCAAUCACCUUUGCCAAUCGGAAGAAAUCGGAAGCUUCCGAGUCCAUGCAGUCCUGGAUGCGGGUCACCUCGUGGAUCCUGAAAGCGACGGUGGACGGAAACGGGAUCCACUCAGGAACCACGGUUAAGUUCUCCACCUGCUGUUGACAGCGGCGGAGAAUCUCCUCCGGCGAGCCCAUGAAAGCGAGUGUGCUGGCAUUGAAAAUGCUGAAGAAGACUGAGUUGAUACCGAGUCGAGAGGCGAUUGGGGGCAACCAGUGAGGAGCAAAGUCAUAGAUGAGCCAGUUGACAUCGGAGUUGUGUAGAAACUGAGUGAGAGGGAGUUGGAGCUGGUCGUAGGCUCGUUUCAGAUAGGGGACUAGGUGGAAGGGCAACUCGGAGGUGGACUCGGCGGAGUCGGGCAAGCCAUGGACGGGAGACAGAGGCAGUGGCACCAUGGUUACAAGCGAGGAUAAAUUUGGAGCAAUUUGAGAGAGGCGACGAAGGUUUUUAGGGGUGGAGAGGAAGGAAAUGCGGUGACCCAUUUGAACUAAGUGGUUGGAGAGAUGAAGAAAAGGCAAGAAGUGGCCAAAUGCCAGCCAUGGGAACACAGCUAUGUGAAGCUUCUGAUGCUCCUUCUUCAUCUCAUCCAUGGCAAUGGGGUUGUGAGUUGUGAGAGAAAUCAAGAUUCAAGACUUCUGGGUAGCGCAGUGAUGUGAGGCUGAAAAGGAGUUGUUAUCGCCAUCCAAGGAGCACUAUACCGAACGAGGGAUGUCCCACCACAGCUUUGUUCUUUGGUGCCCAUUGUUAUUUUGGGUACCCACCCAGACUCCAGUAAUAAAGUGACACGUGUAAAGUGUAUUCAAGUAACUUAUCAAACCGACAAGAUGAAUUAUUGAUCGGAAAUAAUCACAUGCAUAUCAAUCAUAUCUACAUAUUAUAACUUUUUUAUAAUUUAUUAUUAAAUAUCAAAUAUAAUUUCUUAUUUAAUGAACAAUAAAACAUUUAUUUAAAGAAAAAAAAAAAGCUACCGAGUUACCCUUAUACUCUCACUAUUCAAACAUAUAAAAAGGGUACUAAUUUAAUAUGAAAAUUAGGUCAACUAAUGCAUUGAAAAAAAUGGGGAUGUGUUUUGAUAAAACACAUUUGAAUGUCAAGUUCAAAACUUUUUGAGGAAGAAAAGAAAAAAAUUUGUAUUCCUUGAUGAAGAUCAAGGAUUUCAAGUGAUUAUAAGUGUCAAAAGUAAUAUUUGAUUGUUUUUUUUAUUUAAAUAUGAAUUAUGUAGGUAGAAAUGUUAUGUUAAAUAAUAAAUAUGUAAUAAUUUUAUAAUUUUUUAUGAGCUUAUUAUUAAUCAAAUGAGGAUGAUUUAAUAUUAUGUUAUCAAAUUACUAUUAAUAUUUUUAUAUUAUUUUUUUUGUGUGUUGAUAGAUUAGAUUUGAAGAUGAAGUUUUAUGUCUUGCAAAGGGAAAACAAGAAUUUUUGUUUCUUAAGAAGAUAUCAUAUGAAGGAUUUCAAGUGAUUACAACUGUUAAAUGUAACAUUUGAUAUGUUUUUUUUGUUUAUUUAAAUAUAAAUUUUGAAAGUAACAAUGUCAUGUUAAAUAGCAUUUAAAUAUGCAAUGAUUCGAUUUAGAUUUUAAAUUUUUUAUGAGUUAUUAUUAAUCAAAUUGAGACAAUUUAGUCAUUUGUCAUGAAAUUGUCAUCAAUAUUUUAUAUCAUUUUUUUGUGUAUUCAUAUAUUAAAUUUGAAGAUGAAGUUUUAUAUAUCUUGAAGAAGGAAAAUAAGAAUUUUUGUUUCUCAAGAAGAUAUUAUAUUAAGGAUUCCAAGUUAUUACAAGUAUUAAAUGUAAAAUUUGAUUCUUUUUUUUUUAAUUUAAAUAUAAAUUUUGUAGGUAGAAAUGUCGUGUUAAAAAGCAAUUGUUUUAAAUAUGUGAGAGGGGAUAUGAACAAUGUGAGAGAUAGUAUAAAUAGUAUGAGAGAAGGUAUAAGCAAUGUGAGAAGGUGUACAAAAAAUGUGAAAAGGGUAUAAACAAUGUAAGACAAUGUACAAACAAUGUGAUAAGGAGUACGAAUAAUGUNNNNNNNNNNNNNNNNNNNNNNNNNNNNNNNNNNNNNNNNNNNNNNNNNNNNNNNNNNNNNNNNNNNNNNNNNNNNNNNNNNNNNNNNNNNNNNNNNNNNGAAUAAUGUGAGAGGGGGUAUAACAAUAUGAGAUGAGAUACGGACAGUGUCAGAGAAUGUACGAACAUUGUAAAAGAUGAUAUAAACAAUGUGAGAUGAAAUACGAACAGUAUGAGAGAAGGUAUGAACAUUGUAAAAGAUGAUAUAAACAAUGUGAGAUGAGAUACGAACAGUGUGAAAAAAGGUACGAGCAUUGUAAAAGAUUAUAACAAAUAAUAUGAGAGAUGGUACGAACAAUGUGAGAAAUGAUACAAACAAUGUAAGAGAGUACAAAUAAUGUGAGAUGAGGUACGAAUAAUGUGAUAAAUGAUACAAACAAUGUAAGAGAGUACAAAUAGUAUGAACAAUGUGAGAGAGGUACAAACAAUGUGAGAGAUGAUAUGAAUAUUGUAAAAGAUUGUAUGAACAUUGUGAGAGAUUGUACAAACAUUAUAAGAAAUAGUACGAACAUUGUGAGAUGGUGUACAAAUAUUGUGAGAUAGAGUAUGAAUAAUGUGAGAGAUAGUACAAACAUAAUGAGAGAUGGUACAAAGAUUGUAAUAGAGACUAUGAACAAUGUGAAAAAGGGUUGAACAUUAUGAGAUGGGGUACAAAGAAUGUGAGAGAUGAUAUGAAUAUUGUAAGAGAUUGUAUGAACAUUGUGAGAGAUUGUACAAACAUUAUAAGAAAUAAUACGAACAUUGUGAGAUAGAGUAUGAACAAUGUGAGAGAUAGUACAAACAUAAUGAGAGAUGGUACAAAGAUUGUAAUAGAGACUAUGAACAAUGUGAAAAAAGGUUGAACAUUGUGAGAGAGUGUACAAACAAUGUAAGAGGGGUAUGAACAAUUUUAUUAAACAAAUUAAAAUAAUUUAAUUAUUUGUUAUCAAAUUCAAUAUUUUUAUAUCAUUUUUUUUUUUGUAUUUAGGGAUUAUAAAAUAUUAUUAUUAUCCUUAUUAUAUAUAUAUAUAUAUAAAUGAAAGAAUUUGAGAAAUGAUAUGAAACAUGUGAAACAAGGUAUGAAAUGAUAUAAAAAUAUUUAUUUAAAAAAAAACCAAAUUGAUAACAAGUAUGACUAAAUAAUGUAAUUUUCUAACUACUUUUUCUUUUAUAUUUCAGUUCCUUCAUGGAUAUGAUAGACAAAGGCAAAGGAAAUGAAUUCAUCAUCGAUUUGAAGGAUGAAGACUUUGACUACCAAUAUGAUAGUAAUGUGAAAACUGAGUUUGAUGAAGAGUCCAUGUUAGGAAUCUUCACAUUUUUUUGUACUCUUCCCAAAAUUUCAAGUAUUUUUAUGUUUAAAUUUUUUUGUGCAUAAUUUACAUCAAUCAUAAGUGUAAUUAGUAUUUUUAAAUAAUAUCAUAACUAUUGAAAGUGGGAAAAAAUUCUUAAAAAUCAAAGAAGUCAAAAUUUUGGAGGAUACGAAAAAUGUAAGAAAUCCUUAUAUUCUUUGUACUUUCUCUUUAUUUCAUGUUUUUUUUUAAAUUUUGAUAUUUUUCUCCUAAUAUUCCUUCAUUUGUGACUCAAUUAAGCUAUUUUAUUGUUAUUUUUAAUGAAAAAUUAAAUCUUAAAAAUUUUUCAAAUAUAAAAUUUGGAGGAUAGGAAAAAAAUGUGAGAAUGUUACAAAUCAUACCCUUUUCAAUUUAAUUUUUUUAGCCAAAUAAUCUAUCAUUCUUGACUCAGUAAAGUUGUUUUAUUGUUAUUUAGAGUAAAAAAAUAAAUCCUAAAAAUGAUCAACAUGUAACAUUUUUAUGAUUUUUAUUAUAAAGUGUUACUAGGAAUACCAUCUUUUUAUGAUUCAAUUUUACAUUCGUGAAAUAAGAGUAAUAGUAUUGUUUGAUGAGUCAUGCUAAAAACGACUAAAUUAAGUUUAUAUGGUUUUUAUAAUUAUAUUCAAAUAUGUUAUAGCUAAUGUUAUAUAAAAUAUAAUGGAAUUUAAAUGUGUUGUAGUUUUAAUUUCAUAUAAUUAAUCAAAUUUUUUAUAAUUGAUCAUGGUCCAAUUACCUAAUACCUUUGUUUAACCUAUGCUCAAAAUGUUGAAUAUCAAUACAAAUAUUAAUUCCAUAUUAAAACAUCACCAUAUUCAUUUUUAUGUUCGUAAAAAUCAAUAUUCAUGAGGAGCUUACAAACUAAGUGAAUUCAAAUGUUUUACAAAUUUUAUACCAAUUUCAUUUUUAUUUUUAUCCAAUUCUAUUUUUUUUUUAUCUCAUUUAAUUAUUUCAUAUAAACCCAAAAUUGUUUGUUUAAAUACAAUUAUCCAUUAUCCAUUCAUCUUGAAACCCAUUUAUCUCAUCUCAUCAUUUCAUCUUGAAAAAUGAAUGGAACGACUGUUUCCUGCCAAAUAAUGGAUCCAAUGGCUACUAUGUGAUGAGGUGUGAUUGGAUGUUUUUGAUAUAUUCCAACGGCUACAAUGAUGAAUGUGAAGAGAAAAAAUGGAAGAAAAUGGACAAAAUGAAAUCAUGAGGGAGAGAAAGAAAGAGGAAGAAGAGACAAAUGAAGAAGAGGGAAUGGAGGAACCAGUUACUCCUUUAAUAGGUUAUCUUGUUUGUUUUUUUUUUUUUUUUAAAUUUAAAAUGGAUGGCCAAGAUCUAAUGACUAGAGAAUUUUUUUGGUACUAUAGAAUUUUCCAUCCCAUAAAUCCUAUUACUUUUCCCCCACAAUGGGUAAGCCAAGGGGAAGAAGUGUGUUUUGGUGGGAGAGUUUUGAAAAUGAAGGGAAGAAUCCUUAAAAAAAAAAAAAAUAGAAAAAUAAUUUUCUCUUUGAUUUUUACAUAAAAAUAUAUAUAAAAAAUCAAAUAUAAUAAAAAUUAAUUAAAAAUUUAUAAAUUUUUAAAUUAUUUAAUCUUUAUAGAAAAAGUAAAACGAGUUUGAAAUAUCGUAUAAAAAUAAUUUAUUAACUUUAAAUCAAUUUAUUUAUUUUUCCACUUUUUAUUUCCUUUCACUUUCUUUUUAUUUUAUUUCUCUUAUAUAUUCCCUUAAAUUUUUAUGAACCAAAUAUAACUUAAAAGCUUAAUAUAUCCCAAUAAAAAAAAUAUUAUUUGCAUUAAUAUUUAUAAUCCACCUUUAAUUUAAAAAUAUGUAAAACAAUAAUAGAUAUUUUGUGUUGGACGUCAUUUGUCUUAUCCGGGCUGAGCCGUGGAGUAUAUUUGGCUCUGUGGGAUGCUCGAGUCCGGAGACUACACGUUUCCCCACAAAGUGGCCUCCCCAGGAUUUGAACUCAAGACCUUAAGGUCUUUUGGUUUGCCCUNNNNNNNNNNNNNNNNNNNNNNNNNNNNNNNNNNNNNNNNNNNNNNNNNNNNNNNNNNNNNNAUUUUGGAAUCACAUAUUUUGGCAUAUUAAAACACAACUUUUCCCAUGGAAAAAGGCAUGAUGGUCCAAUUACCUAAUACCUUUAUUUAACCUAUGCUCAAAAUGUUGAAUAUCAAUACAAAUAUUAAUUCCAUAUUAAAACAUCACCAUAUUCAUUUUUAUGUUCGUAAAAAUCAAUAUUCAUGAGGGAGCUUACAAACUAAGUGAAUUCAAAUGUUUUACAAAUUUUAUACCAAUUUCAUUUUUAUUUUUAUCCAAUUCUAUUUAUUUUUAUCUCAUGAAGGGCAACUCGGAGGUGGACUCGACGGAGUCGGGCAAGCCAUGGACGGGAGGCAGAGGCAGUGGCACCAUGGUUACAAGUGAUGAUAAAUUUGGAGCAAUUUGAGAGAGGCGACAAAGGUUUUUAGGGGUGGAGAGAAGGGAAAUGCGGUGACCCAUUUGAACUAAGUGGUUGGAGAGAUGAAAAAAAGGCAAGAAGUGGCCAAAUGCCAGCCAUGGAAACACAGCUAUGUGAAGCUUCUGAUGCUCCUUCUUCAUCUCAUCCAUGGCAAUAGGGUUGUGAGUUGUGAGAGAAAUCAAGAUUCAAG